AUUGAACGCUGGCGGCAGGCCUAACACAUGCAAGUCGAGCGAGCGGCGGACGGGUGAGUAAUGUCUGGGAAACUGCCUGAGGGAGGGGGAUAACUACUGGAAACGGUAGGUAAUACUGCAUACCAUCAGAUGUGGCCAGAUGGGAUUAGCUAGUGGGUGGGGUAAUGGCUCACCUAGGAGACGAUCCCUAGCUGGUCUGAGAGGAUGACCAGCCACACUGGAACUGAGCCACGGUCCAGAUUCCCACGGGAGGCAGCAUUGGGCAAUAGUGCACAAUGGGCGCAAGCCUGAUUCAGCCAUGCCGCGUGUGUGAAGAAGGCCUUCGGGUUGUAAAGCACUUUCAGCGGGGAGGCGUUACCCGCAGAAGAAGCACCGGCUAACCCCGUACCAGCAGCCGCGGUAAUAC
rnacentral:rRNA from 1 species